UACGUAGGUGGCAAGCGUUGUCCGGAUUUACUGGGCGUAAAGGAUGCGUAGGCGGACAUUUAAGUCAGAUGUGAAAUACCCGAGCUUAACUUGGGUGCUGCAUUUGAAACUGGGUGUCUAGAGUGCAGGAGAGGUAAGUGGAAUUCCUAGUGUAGCGGUGAAAUGCGUAGAGAUUAGGAAGAAACACCAGUGGCGAAGGCGACUUACUGGACUGUAACUGACGCUGAGGCAUGAAAAGCGUGGGGGAGCAAACAGG
rnacentral:rRNA from 1 species